rnacentral:rRNA from 1 species
AGUGGGGAAUUUUGGACAAUGGGCGCAAGCCUGAUCCAGCCAUGCCGCGUGCGGGAAGAAGGCCUUCGGGUUGUAAACCGCUUUUGUCAGGGAAGAAACGCUCCGGGCUAAUACCCUGGGGUAAUGACGGUACCUGAAGAAUAAGCACCGGCUAACUACGUGCCAGCAGCCGCGGUAAUACGUAGGGUGCAAGCGUUAAUCGGAAUUACUGGGCGUAAAGCGUGCGCAGGCGGUUGUGCAAGACAGAUGUGAAAUCCCCGGGCUUAACCUGGGAACUGCAUUUGUGACUGCAUGGCUAGAGUGCGGCAGAGGGGGAUGGAAUUCCGCGUGUAGCAGUGAAAUGCGUAGAUAUGCGGAGGAACACCGAUGGCGAAGGCAAUCCCCUGGGCCUGCACUGACGCUCAUGCACGAAAGCGUGGGGAGCAAA